rnacentral:sRNA from 1 species
ACCUCAUAGGUAGGUUCGGAGUGCGUCGUCGCAU